CGGGAACUGCUCCCGCCGGGGCCGUUGUCAGGGCUAAGGAUCCCGGGCACCGAGGGAAGCAGUGGGAGGGGCCCCGGGGCCCUCCAAGGGAGCCUGGUUCGCAGAGUGCAGGAUUCGUUCGCAAGGGAGCGCCCUUGUGGGGAACGAGGCAUUGGCACGAAGGGACUUGCCUUUUGCCCCUCCAGACUGCACCCUGGAACUAGAGAAGCAGGUGGGAGUGAGAGGCCAACAUUUUGGAGCCGGAAUGAUUCCCAGGGGAGGGAGUGCCUAGCUGCCUCAGCUUCAAGGUCAUAACUGUUUACUGGCUCUCCAGUUAGGAGAGAUCAAGCGUUGUGUGGAAGAUCUUUCAAAAAGUAAUUAAGGCUGAGCCAUGAUGCUAACAAGCCACAAAGGAGAGUAAGCCUACAGCCUGAUUCCUCUUUCCCAAGCAGAAGGGUAAAUUCCCAUCAUCCCUUAGGAGAACCACACCGGAGACUGUUUGAACUGAAUAGGCCUGUGGGGACCAGACUGUCAGAGGAAGAAUUCAGAAAGGAAGUUGGGGAGUCCAGACCCUGAUAAGCAUUUUCCCAUCCCUGGAUGGGCCUCACCAGGAGAGAGAGAGACCUUGGAGAGGACACAGUAUAUAUGGCUACUGGGCUGGCAGUCUCAAGUAGGAUAUUGAGGCAAGGGCCGCAGUGGGUCUAGGUCCCAGAGCCACAUGCACACGCUUAGACCUAAAGGCAACCGCGGUAGGGGGCUGGGGUGAGAAAGGAGGGAAAGAGAUCUGGAGAAGAGGGGUGAAAUAAGGGUGGAUAUUGCAACUGUGUUUUCUUCUCCUGCAGCUGAGUGUGCCUGGACACGGGUGGAAUGUAAG